UUUGUGAUGAUUGGAGAGGAACUGAGCUCCUUUCUAGCUCAGUUUCUUUCUAGCUCAGUCCCUUUCCAAUCACCAUAAAAUGGAAGCACAAACCUUCAACAAAAUAUAUUCCUUAGCUGAGCUUGAGAUUUUGCAUAGCCUCUCAUUUAUUCUUUCUAGAAUCAGUAAAGUGCAUUAGGAUUCAGAAGACUCCACUUGUUCUAUUUGCUCUCCAUUGCAUUAUGACUUCAUCAGGCACUGCUAUCAUGGGGCACUGGUAACAAAUGUAUGUACUUUCUAAAUACUUACGAUGUAGUAGCUAGGUGGCUACAUGUUGGGCAAAAUGGGAUAAGACAAUAUCAUUUUAACAUGCUUCAAGUACUAUGUCAAGGUCUUACUAUGUACUAUUUCAUUUUAAUCCUAAAAAAAAAAAAACACUCAGAAGAAGGUAUGAUCGGGUAUAUUUUAUAGAUACAGAGGCUAGAGUUCAGAGACAUGAACCUACCUGGCCCCCUCUGCACAUAAACAAUUAUUAAAAAUAUCACUUUGGAGGCCAUGUGCAGAUCAGAUUUGGAAGUGACCAAGACUGGAGGCAGGGACACCAGAGUUUUCUGUUAAAAACUGGUCCAUGCAAGAAAAGAUGACUCCUGAAAUAAGACAGUGAUCAUUAGGAUGAAGAGGAAGAGAAGAUUUGAGGAAUACUUAGAACAGAAUUUACUGAAUUUACUGGUUGAAUUGAAUGUGAAGAGGAGAUGAAUAAAGAAGAAAACACCCUCAAAGGAACAAAUAUGAAACAAUCUCUGGAAAAUGGAAUUUGAUUUUGAUUCAACAACAGGAGAAUUCUACUGUUUUUCUCCAGCAGCUCCACGAUAAAAGGGAACCCUGAGCAGAACACAUGCACAAACUCAUGCCAUACCCUAAGGGACAAGGUUCCCCACAUCUACUUGGAAAUCUUUGGGAUGCUCAAUGGAGAAAAACAAGGAGAGAAAAAUCUAAACCCAGCAGAAGAGAAAGUUUAAGAAAGCGGUCGUCGCCAAUACCAAAAUUAGCUAUGAUAUUCAGGAAGAAAAAAAUGGAAACACGAUAACCACAGUCAAUAAAGACCAAGGCCACAUUCCAUUGACCAGAGCUCAGCCACGCGCCACACCUGGCUAAAGAGACUCUGGCUGAAGAAUUCCCUGAAUAUUUUAAUGUAGCUCUAGGUUAUAACACAGAACAACCACAAGGUGGCAGAAGAACUCCAUUCUUGUAAAUCUCUUAGUUGCUUCUUUAUUUCAUCUUCCCUAUUCCAUCUAAUGUUCCCUGAAUUUUACUAUUUUGUUGGUUUGAAAAUAUGUGUGACUUACGUCCUUUAAAGGAUUUGGUUCGUAAGGUUUUGAAUAGACUGGAAUAUAAAACAUUUAUAGAAAAG
rnacentral:lncRNA from 1 species